GUUCGCAAGGUCCCGUGGCGGCUUCUCGCGACCGCUCUGGGUUCUGAUCUGAUCGAUGCUGGAGGGACGACUCCCAUGGCCACCGCGCGCUGGAUUCUGGCCGACGCGACGAAUGGCCUGGCCAGCGAGAAGAUCCGGCGGCCGCGCGUGAUGCGGGUGAAUCGGGGGCCGGCCGAUCCAGCCGACGCGGUCGUUCGCCUGCGAAUUGGAAAUGGAGGGACGCCAUCGAUGAUGGCCGGCGCCUCAUCCGCUGGAUACUCAGCAACGAUGCCGCGGCCUUUAGGUUGGGUUACGAGUGCGCGGUCCAUGGUUCCGCUACGGUCCGUUGGAAGAUCGGACAUCAUUGUUUUUGUCAUUACCCUGCCACUAAUCAUCCGAAGAGAUGGAGAUGAGGUUGCUGUUUGACCAUGAUACGAAGAGUGCCUUUGGGAUUGGAGGAUAAUGACUGGGUUCAAAGCAUUUUGCUUCCCGACAAAGUAAUAGUUGUGCAACACAUUGAUUAAACAAGUGGAGAAUUACUAUUUAUUCAGAUGGCAAAGAAGCACUGAUCUGCAGUUAAAGUGAUGCCGAAAUUCUGGAACCUAAGGAAGAGAAGCAUGUUUUCACAAAAUUAUGAGAAGAUCUGCU